UCCAAUUGGAACGCUUUGGGAUGAGUCUGCGGCUCAUUAGCUUGUUGGUGGGGUAAAGGCCUACCAAGGCAACGAUGAGUAGCCGGCCUGAGAGGGUGAACGGCCACACUGGGACUGAGACACGGCCCAGACUCCUACGGGAGGCAGCAGCUAAGAAUCUUCCGCAAUGGACGCAAGUCUGACGGAGCGACGCCGCGUGAACGAUGAAGGCGGAAACGUUGUAAAGUUCUUUUCCUGAUGAAGAAUAAUGAGAGGAGUGGAAAGCCUUUCAGAUGACAUUAUUCAGGGAAUAAGCCCCGGCUAAUUACGUGCCAGCAGCCGCGGUAAUACGUAUGGGGCAAGCGUUGUUCGGAUUUAUUGGGCGUAAAGGGCGCGCAGGCGGUUUAACAAGCUUGAUGUGAGAUAUCCCGGCUUAACUGGGGACACGCGUUGGGAACUGUUAGACUAGAGUUUAGAAGGGGAAACUGGAAUUCCUAGUGUAGGGGUGAAAUCUGUAGAGAUUAGGAAGAACACCAAUGGCGAAGGCAAGUUUCUGGUCAUAGACUGACGCUGAGGCGCGAAAGCGUGGGGAGCGAACAGGAUUAGAUACCCUGGUAGUCCACGCUGUAAACGAUGUGCACUAGGUGUAGGAUAUUGAAUAUAUUCUGUGCCGUAGCUAACGCGUUAAGUGCACCGCCUGGGGAGUAUGCUCGCAAGGGUGAAACUCAAAGGAAUUGACGGGGGCCCGCACAAGCGGUGGAGCAUGUGGUUUAAUUCGAUAUACGCGAGAAACCUUACCAGGGCUUGACAUUUACAUGACGGUUUAAGAAAUUAGGCCUUCCUUUCGGGGACAUGUAAACAGGUGCUGCAUGGUUGUCGUCAGCUCGUGUCGUGAGAUGUUGGGUUAAGUCCCGCAACGAGCGCAACCCUUAUUGUCUGUUGCCAGCAUUUCGGAUGGGGACUCAGACAAAACUGCCGGUGACAAACCGGAGGAAGGUGGGGAUGACGUCAAAUCAUCAUGGCCCUUAUGUCCUGGGCUACACACGUGCUACAAUGGCAAGUACAAAGCGUGGCGAAAAGGUGACUUCAAGCUAAUCGCAAAAAGCUUGCCUCAGUUCGGAUUGGAGUCUGAAACUCGACUCCAUGAAGUUGGAAUCGCUAGUAAUCGCGCAUCAGCAUGGCGCGGCGAAUAUGUUCCCGGGCCUUGUACACACCGCCCGUCACACCACCCGAGUUGGGGGUACCCGAAGCCGCUAGUCUAACUUUUAGAGGACAGUGCCGAAGGUAUGCCUGGUAAGGGGGGUGAAGUCGUAACAAGGUA
rnacentral:rRNA from 1 species